rnacentral:rRNA from 1 species
UACAGAGGGUGCGAGCGUUAAUCGGAAUUACUGGGCGUAAAGCGCACGUUAGGCGGCUUGGUAAUGUGCGGGUGUCGAAAUCCCGGGCUCAACCUGGGAACUGCAUCCGAAACUGCCGUUGCUCGAGUAUGGGAGAGGGAAGUGGAAUUCCCAGUGUAGAGGUGAAAUUCGUAGAUAUUGGGAAGAACACCGAUGGCGAAGGCGAGCCAUCUGGACCGACACUGAGCGCUGAGGCGGCGAAAGCGGUGGGGAGCA